AUUCAGCUGAUGAGUCCCAAGUAGGACGAAACGGGUGUCCUGGAU
rnacentral:hammerhead_ribozyme from 1 species